rnacentral:rRNA from 1 species
UACGAAGGGGGCUAGCGUUGCUCGGAAUCACUGGGCGUAAAGUGUGCGUAGGCGGGUCUUUAAGUCAGGGGUGAAAUCCUGGAGCUCAACUCCAGAACUGCCUUUGAUACUGAGGAUCUCGAGUCCGGGAGAGGUGAGUGGAAUUCCUAGUGUAGAGGUGAAAUUCGUAGAUAUUAGGAAGAACACCAGUGGCGAAGGCGGCUCACUGGCCCGGUACUGACGCUGAGGCGCGAAAGCGUGGGGAGCAAACAGG